rnacentral:lncRNA from 1 species
UAAGCCCAUUCUAACAACUAGUGAAUUUGAAUUACACAAACCCUAACUCUCACAACAGUCAACAGCUGCUGGCGCGCCACCCACCCCCAAUCUCUCAUCUCUCUCUCUCGGCUGGCCGGUGACACGCACUCCGGCACUCGACGCGACGGCGGCUCGGCCUUUCCGGCGAAGGUCCGGACAGCUUAACAGCAACAGUCACGCACGCACGGUUCUGUGCGAUUCUGCGCUGCACGAGCAGCACGACCUCCAUCCACCAUUCCCGCCGUUUCUUCUCGCCAUUUCCACCAUUCCAGCACGACCUCCAUCCACCAUUCCCGCCGUUUCUUCUCGCCAUUUCCACCAUUCCAGCACGACCUCCAUCCACCAUUCCAGCACGACCUCCGACUGCCAUUUCCCAGCCCACCGCGACAGCAGCAGCGACGCCGCGACGGCUCUGCCCUCCUCGGCGUGACAGUAGCAGCAGUGCAGCAGGUUCUAUUUUCUAAAUUUUGGUUGUGGUUUCUGUUUUUUGUUAGAUUCAUGUCCAAAUAGAUAGAAAUCUUAGUUUCUGUUUUUUUUUUUUUUGCUGCUAAUUCUGCACUAUAGCUUUUGUGAUAUCAAAUUAGUGAUUGUGAUAUCAAAACUCCAUUGACAAUCAACAUUCAACGGCUGAUCAUACUGUUACAAAUACUGACAUUGAAGGUGGAAGUGGAGAUGGUGAAACAGGUGGAAGUGGAGAUGGUGGAGAUGGUGAAACAGGUGGAAGUGCAGAUGGUGAACAGGUGGGAGUGGA